rnacentral:rRNA from 1 species
UACGUAGGGCGCAAGCGUUGUCCGGAAUUAUUGGGCGUAAAGAGCUCGUAGGCGGUCUGUCGCGUCGGAUGUGAAAGCCCGGGGCUUAACCCCGGGUCUGCAUUCGAUACGGGCAGACUAGAGUGUGGUAGGGGAGAAUGGAAUUCCCGGUGUAGCGGUGAAAUGCGCAGAUAUCGGGAGGAACACCGGUGGCGAAGGCGGUUCUCUGGGCCUUACCUGAAGCUGAGGAGCGAAAGCGUGGGGAGCGAACAGG